UUAAGCGACUAAGCGUACACGGUGGAUGCCCUGGCAGUCAGAGGCGAUGAAGGACGUGCUAAUCUGCGAUAAGCGUCGGUAAGGUGAUAUGAACCGUUAUAACCGGCGAUUUCCGAAUGGGGAAACCCAGUGUGUUUCGACACACUAUCAUUAACUGAAUCCAUAGGUUAAUGAGGCGAACCGGGGGAACUGAAACAUCUAAGUACCCCGAGGAAAAGAAAUCAACCGAGAUUCCCCCAGUAGCGGCGAGCGAACGGGGAGCAGCCCAGAGCCUGAAUCAGUGUGUGUGUUAGUGGAAGCGUCUGGAAAGGCGCGCGAUACAGGGUGACAGCCCCGUACACAAAAAUGCACAUGCUGUGAGCUCGAUGAGUAGGGCGGGACACGUGGUAUCCUGUCUGAAUAUGGGGGGACCAUCCUCCAAGGCUAAAUACUCCUGACUGACCGAUAGUGAACCAGUACCGUGAGGGAAAGGCGAAAAGAACCCCGGCGAGGGGAGUGAAAAAGAACCUGAAACCGUGUACGUACAAGCAGUGGGAGCACGCUUAGGCGUGUGACUGCGUACCUUUUGUAUAAUGGGUCAGCGACUUAUAUUCUGUAGCAAGGUUAACCGAAUAGGGGAGCCGAAGGGAAACCGAGUCUUAACUGGGCGUUAAGUUGCAGGGUAUAGACCCGAAACCCGGUGAUCUAGCCAUGGGCAGGUUGAAGGUUGGGUAACACUAACUGGAGGACCGAACCGACUAAUGUUGAAAAAUUAGCGGAUGACUUGUGGCUGGGGGUGAAAGGCCAAUCAAACCGGGAGAUAGCUGGUUCUCCCCGAAAGCUAUUUAGGUAGCGCCUCGUGAAUUCAUCUCCGGGGGUAGAGCACUGUUUCGGCAAGGGGGUCAUCCCGACUUACCAACCCGAUGCAAACUGCGAAUACCGGAGAAUGUUAUCACGGGAGACACACGGCGGGUGCUAACGUCCGUCGUGAAGAGGGAAACAACCCAGACCGCCAGCUAAGGUCCCAAAGUCAUGGUUAAGUGGAAAACGAUGUGGGAAGGCCCAGACAGCCAGGAUGUUGGCUUAGAAGCAGCCAUCAUUUAAAGAAAGCGUAAUAGCUCACUGGUCGAGUCGGCCUGCGCGGAAGAUGUAACGGGGCUAAACCAUGCACCGAAGCUGCGGCAGCGACACUAUGUGUUGUUGGGUAGGGGAGCGUUCUGUAAGCCUGUGAAGGUGUGCUGUGAGGCAUGCUGGAGGUAUCAGAAGUGCGAAUGCUGACAUAAGUAACGAUAAAGCGGGUGAAAAGCCCGCUCGCCGGAAGACCAAGGGUUCCUGUCCAACGUUAAUCGGGGCAGGGUGAGUCGACCCCUAAGGCGAGGCCGAAAGGCGUAGUCGAUGGGAAACAGGUUAAUAUUCCUGUACUUGGUGUUACUGCGAAGGGGGGACGGAGAAGGCUAUGUUGGCCGGGCGACGGUUGUCCCGGUUUAAGCGUGUAGGCUGGUUUUCCAGGCAAAUCCGGAAAAUCAAGGCUGAGGCGUGAUGACGAGGCACUACGGUGCUGAAGCAACAAAUGCCCUGCUUCCAGGAAAAGCCUCUAAGCAUCAGGUAACAUCAAAUCGUACCCCAAACCGACACAGGUGGUCAGGUAGAGAAUACCAAGGCGCUUGAGAGAACUCGGGUGAAGGAACUAGGCAAAAUGGUGCCGUAACUUCGGGAGAAGGCACGCUGAUAUGUAGGUGAGGUCCCUCGCGGAUGGAGCUGAAAUCAGUCGAAGAUACCAGCUGGCUGCAACUGUUUAUUAAAAACACAGCACUGUGCAAACACGAAAGUGGACGUAUACGGUGUGACGCCUGCCCGGUGCCGGAAGGUUAAUUGAUGGGGUUAGCGCAAGCGAAGCUCUUGAUCGAAGCCCCGGUAAACGGCGGCCGUAACUAUAACGGUCCUAAGGUAGCGAAAUUCCUUGUCGGGUAAGUUCCGACCUGCACGAAUGGCGUAAUGAUGGCCAGGCUGUCUCCACCCGAGACUCAGUGAAAUUGAACUCGCUGUGAAGAUGCAGUGUACCCGCGGCAAGACGGAAAGACCCCGUGAACCUUUACUAUAGCUUGACACUGAACAUUGAGCCUUGAUGUGUAGGAUAGGUGGGAGGCUUAGAAGUGUGGACGCCAGUCUGCAUGGAGCCGACCUUGAAAUACCACCCUUUAAUGUUUGAUGUUCUAACGUUGACCCGUAAUCCGGGUUGCGGACAGUGUCUGGUGGGUAGUUUGACUGGGGCGGUCUCCUCCUAAAGAGUAACGGAGGAGCACGAAGGUUGGCUAAUCCUGGUCGGACAUCAGGAGGUUAGUGCAAUGGCAUAAGCCAGCUUGACUGCGAGCGUGACGGCGCGAGCAGGUGCGAAAGCAGGUCAUAGUGAUCCGGUGGUUCUGAAUGGAAGGGCCAUCGCUCAACGGAUAAAAGGUACUCCGGGGAUAACAGGCUGAUACCGCCCAAGAGUUCAUAUCGACGGCGGUGUUUGGCACCUCGAUGUCGGCUCAUCACAUCCUGGGGCUGAAGUAGGUCCCAAGGGUAUGGCUGUUCGCCAUUUAAAGUGGUACGCGAGCUGGGUUUAGAACGUCGUGAGACAGUUCGGUCCCUAUCUGCCGUGGGCGCUGGAGAACUGAGGGGGGCUGCUCCUAGUACGAGAGGACCGGAGUGGACGCAUCACUGGUGUUCGGGUUGUCAUGCCAAUGGCACUGCCCGGUAGCUAAAUGCGGAAGAGAUAAGUGCUGAAAGCAUCUAAGCACGAAACUUGCCCCGAGAUGAGUUCUCCCUGACCCUUUAAGGGUCCUGAAGGAACGUUGAAGACGACGACGUUGAUAGGCCGGGUGUGUAAGCGCAGCGAUGCGUUGAGCUAACCGGUACUAAUGAACCGUGAGGCUUAACCUU
rnacentral:rRNA from 1 species